rnacentral:rRNA from 1 species
UACGUAGGGUGCAAGCGUUGUCCGGAAUUAUUGGGCGUAAAGAGCUCGUAGGCGGUCUGUCGCGUCGGCUGUGAAAACCCGGAGCUCAACUCCGGGCCUGCAGUCGAUACGGGCAGACUGGAGUUCGGCAGGGGGAGACUGGAAUUCCUGGUGUAGCGGUGAAAUGCGUAGAUAUCAGGAGGAAUACCGAUGGCGAAGGCAGGUCUCUGGGCUGACACUGACGCUCAUGCACGAAAGCGUGGGGAGCAAACAGG